CAUCACCACCACCACCACCACCACCACCAUCAUCCCCACCUUUUACAUUAUUUACACACUCACACUCCUUUAUUCCUGUUUACUAAAAGGAAGCUACCAAAAUUUGUAGGGGAGAAAGGUAAAUUCAAAAGUCUAGAUGGUAUACAUAGCCACCAGGGUGAAAACCAAGGCAAACUUCUCAACAGAGACCCCAAGAGACUGGGAACGGGGUCCAUGAGCACAGAACACCUCAUUAAGACAGUUCCUUACCCUCAGCCUCCAGGAUGCUCCAGCCUCAGCUCUUAAGGUACGCUCCUGUACAGCCCCGCCUCCUUACGUCUCAGCAGCCUACCAGUACUUCCCAAGGCUCAGAUGCCGACAGCAGCCCCAGAGCCUCCACCCUAAGCUUCACGUCCUCCAGAGCUAGCCAACAUUUGGUCCUCGGGUCCCAUCCCUACGUCUCCCCCUCACUGCCAUAUCUCUGGGCCUGAUGGACUCACCCCUACGCCUCUAGAGCAGCUUUUCCCCGCCUGACUGUACCCAGCAACUACCUACCACUAAAAGCGGCUACGGCCCGCGUCCCCGCCCCCUGUGCCUCGGCCCUCCAGGCUACAAUUCCCCCUCCGCCCCACCCCUGCAUCUGCCCUGCGGCCCCGCCCCCGGGGCGCCGCCGCAGCCCCUUCUCGCGGCUGCUGCCCGCGCAUCCCUGCAUCCAGUCCCUGCCACGUCGCCCGCUGCGCCCAGCCUGGUCGCCUCCCCGCCUCGGCGGGCAGCCGAGCGAGUCCUGCUGGGGCUGGGGGAGGGGGCCGGUACCUUUAAUUCGCCCAGCUCCGCCAUC